UGGGCUCGCGGCUCGGGUCCUACAGUGAGCCUGGCAGCUCCGCUCCUAAUGAGCCCCGGGCGCGGGGUCGCCGCUGCCCCGCUGCCGCCGCCGCUCCAAACCCCGAGGUCUUCGGCGUGCCGAGUGACACUCGCGCUCCCUAGACUCGGGUGUCUGCGCACAGCGUGCGGCCUUGCGGGGGCUGGCUAGCCGAGGCUCCAGGAACGCGUGCGAAUAGCAUCCCAGACAGUGGCCAGGAUUUCCCCACGGCUGCGCGCCUCACGCCUGCAGGACUGGGUGAGGGAGAACGACGCUGGACUUAUUUUUUAUCCUGACACCACUGUGACAAAAUUCAUCGCUAGAUGAAAUAAAUGCCCGCCUUUAUUCCAAAAAGGGCAACGUUUUCGAAAUGAUUCGGGUUUGUGACUGAUGCAAGAUGACUAGGUCUGCUGGGCAGUUUCCUAUGGGAACCAGCUAGUGGGUAGUCAGUCAGAAGAAGGAUGUGAUAGAAGAAGCCUAGAGUGUUGGAACAACUGACAUAUUAGACGUCUUACAGAGUUAUUAUCUAAACUGUUGGGCAACUCUGCGGACUUUAUUUCGAGAAACAAAAAGACCAGCACGAAUAUUCCUUCUAGAGAGGACACAAUAACUGAGUGAACCUGUAACGUUCCCCAACAGUUCUCAGACGAACUGUUCUCAAAGUACUGUUUCUGGGGAAAACUCUAGUUUAGAGACCCUCCUGUUCUAAGCGCUUUCUCUUCCAGUCAUCUCAUCAGAGGGCAGCAGAUCGCGAUGAAAAAAAGGCUAAGUUUCCCUUAAGACAAUGAAAGCUUACAGACUUCAUCCCGGGCCUUAGAAAUCAGCAGUGCACCAGAAACCAAGCGCCCUGCUCCUCCUUUUGCCUCUGAGAAAAUAAUUUCUUUGAAGAGUCGUGUGCCAUCCUGAUACAUGGCUCACCUUUAAGAAUGUUCAUUGAAAAAUAAGACAUCUGUCUCCUCCUUGAUCCCCCGCCUCCCAAUGGCAGUAAGGACAUUGGGAGCUCCUAGGACAAUGGGAAACAUUCUGGGGGUAUGGGGAAUAAUUACACAUCCGAGCGGCACCUGGAAAAAGGAAAGGAAAAGAACUAAACUAAGACUGUGUAGGUGUUUCAAAACUGGAACCACCUAACAGGGUUAUAAUCCAGAAAGGAGUGGUUUCCUCAGUGGUUGUGGCCACUUAGAGGCCUAACUCUGGGUGGGCUCUAUCGUAGUCCAUCUAAUGAUACACUGUCCGUGGGAGGUAGAGGUAUCCUGUGGCUCUCAUCAAGACUCCAAAAAGACCAGAUAACAUCAAGUUUCUUAUUGGGGUGGUGGUGGUAAUUGUGGUAGUGACAGCGGCGGCGGCGGUAGCAGCGGUGAAUGAAAAACCUUUCGUGACUCCCUUUUCCAAUAAACUGCACAGAACUGAGGAUGAGAGCAGCCACAAAACUAAACAGUGGUUGGAGCUGGAACUGGCCUUCUUGUCUUCCAUGUCAGACACCUGAACCCCGUCCGCCCAGACUGCCCGCGCUCCCUGACAGCCCGGGACACCAGCUGGGAACCCGAACCUCGACUGUUAUCCACGUGUUCACGCUUGCCUCCGGCGUGGGAAACAAGUUUCCUGAGUCUGAGUGCUAGCCCUAACUACUUUUCCAAGAGGGAAGAGUCCCGCAAACAGGAGCCACCAGUGCCAAGCCGUCUAGUGGCCUCCCAGAGCACGGAGACUUCAGGGGCAUCCACCUCAAAGCCAAAAAGGCACUAACCCCCUCUUUUCCUGACCCAAGAGGUCUAACAGCCUUCUUCUGGGAGUCUCUCUCUCCAGAAGUGCUGGGAAGCUGGCUGGCUGGCUGGCUGGAUCCUGGAGUGGGGGCGUGGCAGGCUCUCUGGCUUCCUUAGCUGACACAAUGACCGCGUCCGUGUAGGCACAGUAGGAUCCCCGGGUGGAUUCAGGAAUUGAUGGAGCCAAGUGCUGAAAGCCAGGAAGGAGCCUUGACAAGGAGGACAGGCUAACCUUUCUUGAUCUCAGAAAAAAGUCCUAAGUAGAGACCCCAAAUCUAGGAUUGUACAAGAAGUGAACGCCAGAGAGAGGGAAUCCCAGGAAAAAGUUACUAAGGUGGAUUUCAGCGCAGCAGUCCGGACCUGCCUUGAAGUGCUAACUCCUGCUCUGGCACAGACUUCUUUCGUGCCUCCUCCCCCUAAGCCUUAGCGGCCACAGUCAUUUGAACAUCCUAGAACUCAAUCUUAGGAUUCCUGUCAGACUGCCAUAGAUACACAUGCACUGUUACAUACAUGCACUGUUAUUAAUGUGAGUACAGGUUCCAUCUUCCCAGAUGUACAAAGAACAUAGAUAUGGAUUUUAAUUAAUGGCAAGAUUAUGAUGAAAGGCUUAUUUAUAAUCGAUACAACAUCUAAAGAUGGCCACACGAAUCAGAAUGAGUUAUAUGCAGGGUACAACUAUCUACCACAGAACAGUUUAGGAAAAUACUAAGGUCUUCAGAAAUGCUAACAUUUUUUUUUCACGGACACAAGCUGAUUUUAGUUCUAUCUCGGACUUACAGGUAGAUUGAUACAGCGCUGCUGAAGUUGCUAUAUUUUUGAAGGACUCUUUGUCCCUCUCAUGGGACAAGCCUGUCAUUAAAAAAAAAUGAAAGAAAGAUAAAAAAAAAAGAAACCUCCCAAAACAGUUGAAAUUAAUAUUUUAAAUGCUACAGUAAAUGUUGCUUCUCUAAUCAGGAAUCAUUGAGAAUGGACAGGGAGGGUGGAAGAGGGAAAUAAAGAGAUGAAAUAGAUAGUUUCCUGAAUUGUUACUCAUGUAUCUGCUUUAAUUGACCUUUGAAAUAUCAGAAAGCUGUUUAGUUCACUGACUACAAACUGGAAAAUAACACCAACUUGAAAAACCAGAACGAUGCAUGCAAGUGAGAAUCUUGUACUGUUUCUCUGGAUAUUCUGGGUAUUUUUCCAUCCACAUUUUGAAACCGUAGUCUAAAAUACAACAUUGGAUCGGCUGACUGUUGCUUCUAUUGUUCAUCGUGGUAUGGGCAGGCACAACUUUUACGAUUUAAAAUGAAAAUGUGUUUCAAAGCUGUAGCCGCAAAGAAAACAGACUCUGCAUUCUGAAGCUGUAAGCUGAUGGGAGCCUACCGCUCAGGGAACAGAUACCUUCCCCCUUGUUUCUUUACAGAAACUGAGCUAGGAAUGAUAGAUACCCUAGGAAGCUAGAAAAGUGGGUGCUAACCCUCUUCCUGAUUGUCAGAUCUCUAAAUAAACUGGCUGAGACAGGCUAUUGCUUCCCAAGCAAGCAAGGAUGGACUGCGCAUGGUCAGUGGUCUGGGAAAGGGUGAGAGUUCCGGAGAUUGCAGCUCUAGUACUUCAACGCCAGUGUCUCAGGGCUUUGAGUGUCUUUGGACUUUCUAGGUUUUCUCCUUCCCUAAGCCGCAGUUUUUAUUUUAUCUGCAAGCCCCAGUGCACCCCAAACUAUGUUGUCAGUCUACCUCUGAACUCUUUAGAAAGUGUGUGUGGGCAAAGAAUUUUGGUAUGGUGGAUUGAUUCCUUCUAGUAAGUAAAGUAGUUGCUUACUUCCAGACCUAGCUAAGCCUCUGGGUAACCUGUGGUAGAGCUGGGGACAGAAGGAGAUAGUUAAGUAUGGUCGUCUAGCCUCACACUGACUUAAGAACAUAACAUUUUAUGGCAGACAGUGUCAUAUGAUGCUCUGCAAGUCUCAUGGACAGAAGAAGUGAUGACCCCACACUUAGGGCUACUGAGACCAGUGUGGAUCCUAAGAGACUGUCAUUACUUAACCUAACUAGGGUGCUGCCAGAGGACAGUAGCCCUCCAGGGACCCUCACUGCUGACAUAUAGGGCUGAGUGUGAAUGCCUCCUGGAUAGGGACUGCCUUUCAGCUUUACUGUGGGAGUGCCAUCGCUGAAAGUCUCCAGACAGGUUAAUUAAAAUACUGAAUGCCAAGACCACUUCCAUAGCAAUUGUGCUGCUGCUGUGGCUAGCAAAGGGACUACAAUUGGAAACUCCUGUAGUCUCCCGAGAAGCUGUGAGGGUUUGGGGGUAUGGAAUGAUAGUCCUUGUUUGAGGGAUCAUAAGCAAAAAGUGGCGUGGCAUCUAGGUGAGGUCUUUGGGCAAGGAGAGAUUCUCCACAGAUGGUCCAUUCUGGCUGGCUGUUGGCCACUGCAUCCUCAGAAAGGAGGGAAGCCCCAAAACAAGGGCAAAAGUACCAAGCCAUCCAUGCCAAUCACCUCCCCCUUCCUUUCUUUCCGACAGGGUCUUAACUAUAGAAUUCACUGUGUAGACUCCUAACUCACAGAGAUCACCUGCCUGUGUCUCCAAAGUUCAGGGAUUACAAGCCUGCACAAAACCCCAGGGCACAUCACUCCUCUGCGGGGAAUUUGGUGUUAGGCAAACAGAGAUGAAUGUGCCUAAGGUUUCAUCAGAAUGUCCCAGGCAGAGCUCAGGAUUCUCAGCCAUGCUACAAGGAAGAUAGAGAAUGUGGAGCAGGCCCAUCCAAUGCACACUGGAAAGAUAGCUGGUGGCCAUUGUUUCUCUGGAUGAUCUCAUUUCUUCAAGGUUUUAUCUCUAGUGCACUGGUGUGUGUGUGGGGGGGGGGAGUGGAUGCACAGGUGGAGGUUAGAGGGCAACUUAUGGGUGUAACCUCUUUCCUUUCCGUCCUGUGGGGCCUUGUGAUUGAACUGAGAUCUGUAGGCUCAGCAGAUCUUUGUCCUCUAUCCAGCAGUUCUUGUUUUUGUUUAUUUGUUUGCCCAGUUUUUGCAGUACUGCGAAUUGAACCCAGGACUUUAUGUAUUCAAGAAAAGGACUCUACCAACUGAAUUUUAUCUCCAGCCCCUUUCCAGUGUUUUAAAGAAAAAUAAACAGUGAAGUUUUCCAGG